rnacentral:rRNA from 1 species
GACAGAGGCCUCAAGCGUUACCCGGAAUCACUGGGCGUAAAGGGUGUGUAGGCGGCUGCGUUAGUCUCUCGUAAAAGCUUUUGGGCUUAACCCAGAAAAUGCGGGGGAAACGGCGUAGCUUAGAGGAUGUGAGAGGUGUGCGGAACUCAUGGUGUAGGGGUGAAAUCCGUUGAUAUCAUGGGGAACACCAAAUGCGAAGGCAGCACACUGGCGCAUUCCUGACGCUGAGACACGAAAGCGUGGGUAGCGAACGGG